rnacentral:rRNA from 1 species
CCUACGGGGGGCAGCAGUGAGGAAUAUUGGUCAAUGGGCGCGAGCCUGAACCAGCCAAGCAGCGUGAAGGAUGACUGUCCUACGGGUUGUAAACUUCUUUUAUAAAGGAAUAAAGUGUGGCACGUGUGCCUGUAUGAAUGUACUUUAAGAAUAAGCAUCGGCUAACUCCGUGCCAGCAGCCGCGGUAAUACGGAGGAGGCGAGCGUUAUCCGGAUUUAUUGGGUGUAAAGGGCGUGUAGGGGGGACUGCAAGUCAGCUGUGAAAACCACGGGCUCAACCUCUGGACUGCAUUUGAAACUGGAGGUCUUGAGUGCUGGAGAGGCAUACGGAAUGCCUAGUGUAGCGGUGAAAUGCGUAGAUAUGAGGAAGAACACCGGUGGCGAAGGCG